UUCUUGGGGUCCUUCGGGUGUUAACAGUGUCACUUUGUAUGCAGCCAUGGUGAGACGGCCAUUUCGUUGGGGUUUUAGCCCGAAAAGAGAUUGGUUGAAAGGAAGGGAGCUUAGGGUUUUCGGGGCCGGGUGGCCGCGGAGGAAAGAGGUGGUGGCUACGGCGGUGGAGAGGGAAGCUGUGGAGGCCAUUUUUUAAGUGGAAUUUUGAGGGUUUCAAUUCAAAGGCUAAACUGGCUAUGGCAGUGGUAGCUUUGCAAGGGGUGUUGAUAACGAGGGAAGGUGUGGUUUAGGAUGAAGUAUCAAGUGGCAUCGACUGGAUGCUUGUUCGCCACGUGGCUAAUCUGCAUGGCUUGCAUUAUCUAUCUUUAUAUUUUUUUCUUAUCAUCCACCACAUACGAAUCAUCUUAUUUCAUUGGUGAACGUGGUCGCCACAAUCCUCCCAUGAUACCUUUUUUUCGGUAGAUGUAAAACUUUAUUUGUAUUUGUGAAUUGAGUAUUAGAUUGAUACGUUAAUAUUAGAGGACGUGAGUUUGACUACUACGUUGAAAUAUAUUAUUUUUUUAUUUAUGGGUUAGAGAUGAGAUUAUUUUUAUAUUUUUUCAUAAUUUUUUAUAUUAUUAAUAUUUUAAUAAUCUAAUCAUCACAUUUCAUGUUUUAUUCAUGUGAAUUAUUUAUAAUCAAAUUGGACAUAAAUUAAAAAUUCUUAACCAUUCGUUUUAUGUAAAAAAAUAAAUAUAUAUUGAUAUAGAUAAGAUUUUAUGUCGAUAUAAUAGAAAUAUUGGACUGAUUAGAAAAUUUACAUGUAUGGCAAAUAUAAAUUCAACAAUUAAAUUGUAAAUUUGUAUAAAAAAUUAUAAAACCGUAUAAAAUCACUUAAAGUGGAUCCCUCCCUAAUUUAAAAUAUGUGAAUGAAAUUGUAAAUACAUGUAAUAUAUAGAUAUUUUGGAAUUUGGAUAUGAUGGUAGAAUUUAAAAGAACUAUUAUUUUUUAUGUGUUAGAUUCUAAUUGUCUACAUAAUAGCUAUAUACGCGUUUACCACUCUAAUCUCAACCCGUAUUUAAGACCCAAGCUAAUAGUUAGGUUAACAGAAAAACUUAAUUGAUAUGAUAUUGUUACUUUGUAUAGGGGUGAGCAAAAUUCAAUAAAAUUUGACUUAAUCAACUUAAUCGACACAUUGGGUUUUGUCGAUUUUGAUUAAAUCGACUGUGUCUAUUAAAUCAAUUAAUGGCUAGAAUAGUUAAAUUAAUCGAUUAUCAAUUAUUGAAAUUCAUAACCGAAUCAACGGACUUAAAUAAAAAUUAUUUUUAUUUUAAAUAUAUAAUAAUUGCAUAUAAUAUGUUUUUAUUUUAUAUGUAAUAUAUUAAUUUUAAUUUAUUUUAAACUAGGAGGAGAGAAAGUUACACCACAAAUUUAGUGAGGAAAUGUAACCCAACAACAGCAUCCUAUCCUUUUGUUUUCAGAGGCUUUUAGUUCAUUGAUAAGAAAUGAUUGGAUAAAACUAAUCCAAUGAGCUAAUAUUACAAACCCAAAAUUGGAAAUUGGAAAUGAAAAUAAUUUAUGACCACAAUUUGCAUUCCUCAAAACAUAAUCACAAUUGUAUUUUUGAAAAUUUGUAACACCCCUUACCCGAGACCGUUGCCGGAAUCGAGUACGAGGCAUUACUUAGCUUAUCUUACUAAUUCGGGGCAUAAAAAUUCGUUUUAAAAAUUAAUUUCACUGUUUACAGUAAUCUGUCCAAUCGCGCAGCAGUUACUAAAUUGAUUAUAACUCGAGCUACGGAACUCCAAAUUUAAUUUCGUAAAUUUUUCCUGAAACUAGACUCAUAUAUAUACUCACCAUAAAAUUUUUAGAAUUUUUGGUUCAGCAAAUUAGUACAGUUUAUUAGUUAAAGUCUCCCCUGUGUCACCACCAGACUGCCCUGACCUCUAGUCACUAAAAAUAAGUUUUCUCACUAUAGGAUUUUCAUAUGAAUUUCUUACUUGUUUCUAUAGAAAAUAGACUCAUUAAGGAAUCUAAGCAUGUAAAUUUCAACUCAUAACCAUUUUUGUACAAUUUGUAAUUAUUUUCUAAACUCAGAACAGGGGACUCCAAAAACAGUUCUGACCCUAUCUUACUAAAAUUCACAUAUCUUAAAAUAUAAAUUUCUUUUCUCUACACCGUUAUUUUUCCAUGAAAAUAGACUCAACAAGCUUUAAUUCCAUAUAUCAUUCACCCUCUAAUUCAUUUUAUACUAUCUUGGGUGAUUUUUCAAAUUCACGUCACUAUUGCUGCCUGAAUUCUGUUUCUUUGCAAAAUUUUACCAUUUUAUGACUUUCAUACCUAAUUUAUCACUUAGACUUUUAUAACAAUAAUUAACUUCAUCCUUGACCAUUUAAACAACCAUUCAUCAUCAAAUACUUACACAUCAUUCUAUAGUGAAAUCAUAUUUACAAAUAUACAAAAUUACUAAAUUCCUAUACAUGCCAUAACUAAAAGAAAUGUUCACCACCACAAUUAGCUCAGAAUCGGCUUUGGAUGCUGAUUCAACAAUCCGACUUUGACCUAACCUGCGCACGGAAACAACCGUACGCUGAGUAUGGAAAUACUCAGUGGUAUUACCAUAAUUCGAAUUAAUAACAUUAAUCGAUAAAUUAUAUACAUUUUAUUUAUGUCUACAAUUAUUCAUUAAUUAUCUCAUGCAUUAAAUCAACUUGAUAAUUAAUAACAAUAAGCUAUAAUUCAAAUCUUGUAUUUAAUUGUAUUCAUACCUUAUUUCACUAUCUCAAUUCCAUUGGAUUUUUCUUUACAUCUCAUUCCAAUAGUUCAUUUCAAUUCAUAUACAAUUCAUUUCAUUUAAUUUAUAUUCAAUAUAAAUUUUAUUGCAAUUUGUACUCACUAAUAUCAUAUAACAAAAUUUACUCUUUAUCACAUCAUGAACUUUGGGCUCAUAUCUUUAAAUCUCUUAUUUCGAUUUCCAAUUCACACAUCAAUUCACAACUUCACUUUUUCGUUUCUUCCCAUAGCUCAAUCAAUCACAUUUAUUCAAUUUUCUCAUUUCAAUUAUUUACCCCUAUUAACAAGACUCGGACCUUGGCGGAUACACGGAUCCAACCAAACACACCAAAAUGGCACCCAGUGCCUCAUCGGAUAGUUCGAAGCAAUAGUUGACACCCAGUGUCUCAUCGGCCCAGCCGAAGUAAAGUUGGUACCCAGUACCUCAUCGAAUCUAUCCGAAGAAAUAUAGUGACACCCAGUGUCUCAUCGACUCAAGGUCGAAGUAUCCCUGAACUCUUCCAAUCCUAUGGCAUACCAACUAUAUCCGACUCAGCCCGACUAGUUAAUAGGGUUUCCGAAUCACAUUUCAAUUCAAUCACUUUCUCAUACUUUCAAUUCAAAUCAUUCCCAUUUAAUCACCAUUUGUUUCAAUACAUUUUUCUAUUUCAAAUUCACUUUCGAUUUAAUCGCAAUUCAACUCAGAUUCACUUCCCACUUUCAAAUCAAUAUACAAUUCAAUACCAAUACAUAUUUCAGAUAUUCACAUAUAAUCAUACUUCGAUUCAAUUCAAACCACUUUUCAAUCAAUACACAAUUCACAUAUUCACAUAUCUCAAUUUAAUAUCUCAUUUAUUCAAUUCAUAUUUUAAUUCAUUCAAUUAAAUAUUGAUAUUCUCCUUAUUUUUAUUUACUAACAUAUUAUUCAAAAUUCAAUAAUUACUGUCAAUAAAUUCAAUAUCAAUACGUAUAUAUAUUAUUCAAUUCAAUUAUGAAACUCACCUCAAUUUGCUUAUCGUGUAUAUUAAUUUAAUUUUCAACGAUUAAUAAUUAAAUUCGAAUUAUAGUAAUACUAACCGUAAUUUCUCUCGAGUCACUCCUUGUCCACUUUCUCCUUUCCUUUCUCGGACAAUGACUCGUACACGACAUUAGCUACGUAAUUAAACAAUUAAAAAUCAUUAAUACACAAUUUCAUUAAAAUAUUUCCUUUUAUACCUAAACUUUACCCAAAUUCUAAUUUAAUCCCUUACCAAUACUAAUUUUAUUUUUCCCAAUCUAACUCUAUAUUCUCUCUUAAUUCUUACUAAACUCAUAUUUAACUAUUUAAUUUUUAUCAUGUUUUCAUAAUUCCGAAUUUAUUUCAAAUUAAUCCCUAAAAUUCAAAACUUAUAGUUUAGUUUACAAUUCAAUCCUUUAUUCAAUUCCAAUCAAAAUUUCUAUCAAAUACAUCCCUAAUUUAACAAUUUAUUCAACAUGAACCAUGCUUAAUAAUCUACUAACUUUCAAAAUUUCAACUUAAAUCAAGUAGUAUUUUAUUCUAGGAUUUCAAAAAAAAUAUCAAAAUUAAGAGAAAAGGGGAUUAAAUUGACUUACCAAAUUACUUUGAACCUUAAAACCCCAAAUUUCCCUUUUUCUUUUCUUUUCUUUCUUUCUUUCCUUCCUUCCUUCUCUGUUUCGUUUUGCUCUCUGUUUCUUUCUUUCUCCCUUCUCUGUUUUGUUUUGCUCUCUGUUUCUUUUCUUUCUUUCUUUGUCAUAUAUAUAUAUAUAUAAUAUAAUAUAAUAUAAAAUAUUAAUAAUAAUCAUUACUUACAUAUAUAUAUAUAUAUUAACUAGAAUAUCUCAGAUAUUUCUUUCAUUAUGCCGCCUCAACUUUAGAAAAAGGCAUAAUUGCCUAUUUGGUCCUUUUAACUUUUCUUUAAUCUAUAAUUAAACUUUUAUCCCUAUUGCAAUUUAAUCCUUUUUCAUAAUUAACUAUCGAAACAUUAAAAUUUCUUAACGAAACUUUAAUAUUAUCCUAUUGACACUUCGUAAAUAUUUAUAAAAAUAUUUACGGCUCAGUUUAUAAUAUCGAGGUCUCGAUACCUCGUUUUCGACCCAAUUUACCUAAUAAUUUCUUUUAAAUCACAAAAUUCACUGAUUUAAAAAUAUUUCUAAAAUCACACUUAACUUAUAAUUAUUAAUUAAUAAAUUUUUUCUAACUUUUUCAUCAAUUUUAGUGAUCUCAAAUCACUAUUCUGACAUUACUAAAAAUUGGGCUGUUACAAAAUUGGUUUGUUUAAUUGGUUGUAUAUAAUUAAAAAUAUAAGUAUAGGUCUAACCUAUAAUUUUUUUAAUAAUUUUAUUAUAGAUUUUAAUUAUAUCUGAUUUUUUUGACACAAUGUCUAGAACUAUUCAUAAUCUCUCCCCAAUUCAUAAAUAAGAGGAUAAUGUAUUGAAGUGCACUCGAAUCCACGUCCUCCUGUAUUGGCAACAAUACUCAUGCUAAUAAAACUAAAACUCUGUCGGUAUUUCUAUUUGUGAUUUAAAUAAGAGUUCUGUUAUGGCAAAUUCUUACUAAUGUUCUUACAAGUUAGCAUCCUGCGUUGCAGCUCACGUCGAUUCAACGUAACGAGUCUCGUGUAUGUCUCAAAUCUUCACUGCAACUCCAGGCUCAGGGUCACGACUGCUCAUCAAUUUCGCGUUGUGAACUUCAUUGUUGUUUCAGUGCAGUUCCACAAUUCGGGGAUCUUUUACCUAUGAAAUGAGCACAAACAACAUAAGAUUAUUCUUGAAUAUUAAAAAUUCAUGAAACAUGCAAAAAAAUGCACUAAAUCCAUAAGUUAUGAUGCAUAAAAACACUUCUAAAACAUUGGUUUUUAUUCAAAGCAAGCCAAGAAUAAGCAUGAAAUGAGUGUUAAAACAUGUAUCAAUUACUUACUCAGUAUACGUCAGUCUCAAGUACACUUUUAUUGGAGACUCACGUAUGAUAAUUGUGCAUGAUAAGACUCGAACUUGAGUACUUAGUACUUAAAGUUGCCAACAAUAUCAAAGUUUCAUCCGAAAGAACAAAGAUAUUUAAGUAUCUUAAUUUAAGAAAAAAAUUGAUCAAGGACAAUAAUACUAUAUGUGAUAAUAGAAUAUCGAUAAUGGUAAUGUAUCACAAAGAAAAGAAAGAAAAGUAGGGGCAGAGGAAAAUAAAUUUUACUAUGCCGAAUUCGAAUGAUACAAGAGAAGAAACGACUACGACUAUUUAUAGAUUUGUAAAACCAUAUUCUGAUCAAAGUUAAAUAGAAAUAAUGUAGUAAGAUUAAAGCACAUUAUUCUAAUCAACCUCAAAUAGAUGUAGUAUACUUCUAUACAAAUUUCACUUGUAUUUUAUUUUAAUAAGAAUUUGGUUUACAUAUCUUUAAUACUAUAUCAAAAAUGGCAAGAGAGUAUACCUUUAUUUGUUUUCAAAUCCCAAAGUAUACUAUGUUAUAUCGUAUAGGUUAGGUUAAGUUUGGAUUAGGUUAAAUUCCAAAGUAGAUUGUUUGUACCAAUUACACGGGUCUAAUGCAAAUCUACUUGUAACUUGCAUCUAGCAAGCCAAUGUAACUUCAAAUAAUUAUUGUUUGAAGACUUUAAAUGUGAUAGAACUUUCUUUAUCAAAGAGAUUUGAUUUCCAUAAAAGACUAUACCGAGAAUAUCUCUACUAAUUGUAAUCCAUGUUGAAGACUUCAUUAAGCUAAAUUCAAGGAGAUAAAGAUACACAUUGAUUGUAAUUAAGCAGGCCGACACAUGUUUAUCUAGGAGAGUGUUUGUUUUAGUUUUAUGUACAAGAUCGAGAGCACUUUUCUUAUUUAGGCGAGAAACUUGUUUUAGUGCAAAUUUAUUAUAAGCAAGUUGUUUUCAUUGUUCAAUUUGCAACUAAGCUUUUAAGGGGAAAAUUUUAGUGGAGAGAGUGAUCUAAAUUGUGUAUAAGAGUGAGAUUGUAACUUGAUGAGUGAGUUAGACUAAAAUUACGUCUUGUACAAAUUGUUUUAUAGUGAGUUACUCUGUCGGCUUUAAUGUCCCAAGCUUUUGCUAUAACAACAUUUAAGACAAAUUUUAUAUGUAUUAUAUGUUCUAAAAAAAAUAGUGAAAAUAUGAUUGAAAUUUUUUUCAAAAACUUGCAAAAUACUCAAAAAUAUGUUUUAAAUGUGUCUUAAUUUAUCUAUAUAUUUUUGGGGUUAAUAUCAAAUUGUUCUAAACUUUGUUGAAAAUGUUCAAGAUGAAAAAAAAUGCUUUUUUCUUGUUUUGAACCUUUGAUGGCAAUUUUACAAGGUAUUAAAGUCUUAAAACUCUUCUCCUAAGCUUUGAUUACCGCCGUUACCUUAAGUUGUGUACAAAGUGUAACACCCCUAACCCACAUCCGUCGCCGGAACAAGGUUACAGGAUGUUACCGGAGUUUACAGAAUAAUUACACAUAAUUUCACUAUUUACUUAUGUUCAUGUCAAAGCUGUCCACACGAGUUAUAGUCACUAAAUUACUUAUAUCAGGACCUAUGAAACUCCAAAUUAAGAUCCGCUAAUUUUCCCUGAAACUAGACUCAGGUAUCUUCUUACCAUAAACUUUUCACAAUUUUUUGUUAAACCAACAAGUACAGUUUAUUCUUCAAAGUUACCCCUAUUUCGCUGUCAGAUAGUUCCGACCCCUCUUCACUAAAGAUUAAUUAUUUCCUCAUACGAAAUUUGGAUAAUGUUCUUGUUUAUUUCUUUUGAAAAUAGACUCAUUAAGGAUUUUAAUCAUAUAAAUUUAAGCCCCUAAUUAUUUUUAUUCAAUUUAUUAUGAUUUUCCAAAAUCAUAAUAGGGGAAACCGAAAUCAUUCUGACCUUGUCUCACAAAAAUUCAAAUAUAUCAUAAUAUAAAAUUUUUUUUAUUACACCAUUUCUUCUAUGUAAAACUAGACUCAAUAUGAUUUAAUUUCAUAUUUUAUUCAACCUCUAAGUCAAUUUCCACAAUUUUUGGUGAUUUUUUCAAAGUUAAACUACUGCUGCUGUCCAAAGCUGUUUUAGUGAAAAAUGUUGAUAACUAAGUUUAUAACACCUUCACUUCCUUUCAAUUAAACCCUAUACAUGUCAUAUAAACCUUAAGAUGCAUAAUAUAACGUACCGAAGUAAUCUCGAUAGUGUGCCCUGAUGUGUUGAUCCGAUUUGCCGACCUCACGUCAAUAUACAAAGAACAUUAAAUACACAGGAGUAAGCUUAUGUAAGCUUAGUAAGUUCAUAGGCUUGAAACAUAAAUCUUACCAAAAUACCAUAGCAAUUCAAUAAACAAGUAUUAUACAUAUAUCUCCUGCCAUCCACAAUUUCACACGAUGAAUUCAUUUCAUUGAGCUCAAUUUCAAACAUCAAAUAUCCAAUCGUAUUCCAGCAUUUAGCUUCAACUAUCACUUACCAACACUUGUCAAAUUAGAGAACGUCUUACGGAUUUAAGUACAUCGUGAUAUGAAGCCCGAAGUCUAGCUGAAGCACAUAAAUGCUAAACGGAAGCCCGAAGGCUAACUGAAGCACACAAGUGCUAAACGGAAGCCCGAAGGCUAACUGAAGCUCAUCAGAGCUAAACUGAAACCCCAAAAGGGUUAACUGAAACUCAUAUGAGUUAACGAAAGCUCGUAAAAGCUAAACGGAAAGCAAACAAGAGAAUUUGCAACAAAUGCUGAAUCUCGAUUUACUUGGGUAAUUUACCGUCAAUUCAUCUUUUUCACAGAACGAUCGUACUCAUUUCCUGCGUUCUGCUAAAUUUAAACUUUUGCUUCGAUUUUCAUAUUAUUACAAUAUUCAUGAUUCAAUAACAAAUAUAUAUACAAUAAUACAUUUAACCAUUCUUAGUUUAGCAAAUAAUUAUGAAAGUUCAACCAUAUGAACUUACCUGGGCCAAUUUGUAGAAGUUAUGGAAAUUCAGGGACUAAUAAAAAAUUUCCUCUAUUCCACGUUUUCUUCAGAUUCUCGAUCUAUAAUAUGGAAUUUUCCAUUCAUUAGCAUUCAUUUCGGAUCUAAUUCACUUCACAAUUUAUGCCCCUUCAAUUUUUGAAAUUACACUUUUACCCCAAAUUUUACAGUUUUUACAAUUUAGUCCUUACUCAAUUCACCCAUCAAUUGAACUAAUUUUUCCAAAUUAACACUUUAUUUUAUCAUUAUAAACUAUUGCAUAACUUUUGAUAUUCUGAAUUUCAACACCAACCUCUAAUUCACAACUUUUUCACAAUUAGGUCCUAAAUACCAUUUUCUAUCAAAAUUACUUAAUAAAACCACCUUAAUAUGAAAUUACUUAAUAAUUAAUCAUAAAAUUCCCUCACCCAAGCAAGGGUAACUUUCUAUUUCACCCACCAAAUCAAAAACUGAUGAAUUCUAUAAGUGGACCUAAUUGUAAAAGUCAUAAAAACAUAAAAAUUAUCAAGAAAAAGCAAGAAUUAAACUCACAUGAUCUAAAAAUAUGAAAAACCAGCUUACUCUAGACCUCAUAUGGCAUUUUUUCUGAUAAAAUAUGAAGAGAUCUCUAGAUUUUUCGAUUUUGUCUUUAUUUUAUAUGUUAAAAUUGUAAAAUUUUCAGUUUUACCCUUAUUUCCCUUAUUUUUUCUGCUGAUUUUCUUGCCCUUGCCGUCCAACCUAUUCACUUUUAGGAUUAAUUUCCCUUUAAAUCCUCUUUAUUUUAACACUUGAGCUAUUUAAUUGUUCUAGCAAAUUUUACAUUUGUUACAAUUUAGUCUUUUUUAUUUAAUUGACUACCCAAACGUUAAAAUUUCUCAACCAAACUUUAAUACUAACUUAAUAACACUCAAUAAAUAUUUUUAAAAAUAUUUAUGGCUCAAUUUUCAAAUUUGAGGUCUCAAUACCUCCUUUUCAACCCGAUUUACCUAAUUAAUUCUUUUAAUUCACAAAAUUCACAUAUUCACAAAUUCUUAUAAUUCCUUACUUGACUCAUAAAUAUUAAAUUACUAUCUUGUUCAAUCUUACUUGUCGGAUUUUGUGAUCUCAAUUCACUGUUUCCAACACCACUGAAAAUUGGGCUGUUACACAAAGUCUUAGGGUUAGACUAAUAUAACAGAUAACCAAUCAAAUUAUCAUUAAUAAAAUUAUAAUUCAUACGAACUUACCUCGACAACUAUGGUUGCAAUAACAAAGUUGAAGUCCAAUCCAAACUUUAGUUUUUCCAUGAUUUAAUUUCGGUUGUUGUUUAUCUUGAUCCAAAUAGAUAAUUUCAUUCAAUUAAGUACUUCAAAUAACUUCAAGUAUUCAAUUCAAUCAAUAAUUCACAUUAUCAUAAAAUUAUAAAUUUACCCUCCUAUUUUAACUUUUUCACAAAUUAGUCCUUAAGCUCAAAACUUGUAAAAAUACUAUUUUUACCUUCCAUGCAUGCUAACCGAACCUCUUAGAACUAAUAACAACCCAUUCAAGACAUCAUCUCAUAAUGUUACCAUGAAAUUUCACUAUUUUAAUUAAUUAAUCCCUAAACACAAUUUUACCAAAAAUCACUUAACAAAACAUGUUCAUUUGACAAUCAAAUUUACUAAUCUAUCAAUUAACAUCACAAAUUCAUCAAUUUCAUUCCUAACAUAUCCCUCAAACUUUAACAAUUGUACAAAUUAAUCCCCCGGCUAAGUAGUUUAAGUUAAAAUGAGUUCAAAAACAUAAAAAUCACUAAAAACGGGGCUCAAAUGCAUACCAUGCAUGAAGGAAACUCAAAACCAAAGCUUUCUCCCCUCCUUCAAUGGCUAUUUAUCUGAAAACAAGAAAAAUGAAAAGAAGAUGAUAGCUUUGUUUUGUUUAUUUCAUGAUUUUUUAUUAUUUACUCAUUUACCCUUAUAUUAUAACUUAAAAACUAACAUAAACAUGUCCAUAUUUGUCCACCAUCAACAUAUAUGGUAUAAUUACAAUCAAAGUUCAUUAAUUCAUCUCAGUCCAUUUAACUAAUAGAACUCAACUUUUACACAUUUUUCAAUGCAGUCCUUUUUACCUAAUUAACCAUUUAAAUUAAGAAAAUUUUAUACUACCUUAAAUAACUCACUUGUCGAAGUCAUGGUCUCGAAACCACUAUGUAACGACCCAAAAUCCGUGGGCACCGGAAAAGUGUGUUAUCGGGCCUCCGUCUUAGUGAAAUAAGUUCGAAAAUAAUUAUUAAAAAAUAUUUAUGAGUCUAGUGGUGUGUCUAAUUAGGUUUUAAUUAAGUAAAUUUAGCUUAAUUUAGAGUAAUUAGUAAAAAGGAUUAAAUUGAAUAAGAGGUAAAAGUUUAAUUCUAAAGCAAUAGAAAGUAAAAAGGGCCAAAAUGGCAAAUAUGCUAUUAACUAAUGGUUGAGGCGGCAUAAACGUAUUAAAAAUUUAAGAUUUUAUUUAAAUUAUAUAUAUUGUAUUAUAUUAUAUUAUAUUAUAUAAUUGAUUAUUAUAAUUAUUAAUUGUUAUGGUUUUAUAUUAUUAUUAUUAUUAUUAUUAUUAAAUAAAUUAAAUAGUAGAGAAUUGUAUGGUAAUAAAAAAAAAUAUUGGUAUAUUUGUAAUGAAUAGAUACAUGUGUACUUGUUAUAAAAUAAUUUGUUUACUUAACAUUAAAGUAAUAGAUAAUUAGAUUAAAUUAUAUUAUUGAUAAUUAAAUAAUUAUAUCAUAAGAUUUUUUUUAUGUUAAAUAAAGUAUGAUUAUGACAAGUGUAAGGUGAUAAAAAUAUACAUAUGUAAUGAUAAUAUUUAUACAAUUAUAAUAUUUUAUUUAAAUUAGUAGAUAUUUAUUAUUUAUUAUUAUUAAAAUUAAGAGAUAUUUAAUAAUUAAAUAAUUAUCAAAUAAGAUUUUUAUGGAUACUUAAAUAAAAUUAUGACAAAUGUAGGGUGGUGAUAUUGGACAAAUGUAAAACAUGUGUGUCUAUAUAUAUAAAAUAAAAAGAAAUAAAGCAUAAAAUAAAUAAAAACAAAACAAACAGAAUAGAAAACAGAAGCAUUCGAAAACAGGGGAGAAAAAGAGAAAAAAAAAGGGAAAGAAAUAGAAAAAGGAAAAAUUAGAGAUUUAAAGCUUGAAGCUUUGAUUGGUAAGUCAAUUAAGUCCUUUUUAGUUAAUUUUGAUGUUUUAGAAGCUUUAGAAUAAAGUUUUGUUGAAUUUAAGUUGAAAUUUUGAAAGUUAAUAGAUUUUUUACUAGGGUUUAUGUUGAACAAAUGAUGGAAUUGAGGGUUUAUUUGAUAGAAAUUUUGAUUGGAAUUGAAUAAAUGAUUGAAUUGUAAACUAAGUUAUAAGUUUUGAGUUUUAGGGAUUAAAUUGAAAUAAACUCGAAAUUAUGAAAAUACGAUAAAAAUUAAAUAGUUAGAUGUGAGUUUGGCAAGAAAUUGAGUAGCAAAAAGGUAUAAAUUGAGAAAGAAAAAUAAAUAGGUUUAGUUGGGAUUAAAUUGGAAUUAAAGUAAAAGUUAGAUAAAAAUUUCAGCAUUUAAAUUGUGUUAUGCUAAUAAUUGUGAAAUUAUUUUAAUUGUUCGUAGCUAAUAACAAGCCUGAAGCAUUGGCCCAAAAAGGAAAAGGAAAGAUCGUCGAUGAUUAAAUCCGAAGAAAAUUUUGGUUUGUAUCACUAUAACUCAAGCUUUAUAAUUAAUAUGUGUUUAAUUUAAUAUGAAUGUGUGGUAAGUAUUUUAAGGUAAGUAUUUAAUGAACUGAUAAAAUUUGUGAUUGGGUAUUAAAAUUGGGAUUGAUACUGAACUGAAUUAUGGGAUACUGAAUAUUGUUUUGAAUACCGAAUUGAACUAUGAAAUUACUGAAUAAUGUUACGUAUAUUGCAUUGAACUGUAAAAUUUCUAAUGAAGUGAAUUACAGUAUUACUGUGAAAAUUGAUCAAAAUAAUAAAUUAUAAUUAAUAUUGAAUCGAAAUGGAAAUUGUACUGAAAAAUGAUUUAAAUACCUUAUUAACUAGUCGGGCUAGUCGGAUAUAGUUGGCAUGCCAUAGGAUAUGGAAGAGUACGGGUUUAAAGCCGGCUUACUGAUCAGGCACUUAUGUGCCGACUACUGUUACUGUUACCGAUUCGACACUUUGUGUGUCGAAUACUGUUACCGUUACUGUUACAGAUUCAACACUUUGUGUGUUGAAUACUAUUACUGUUACUGCUACUGCUACCGUUACUGAUUACUGAUUAGGUACUGUGUACCGUUAAGGCACAUUGUGCCAUACUGAUGUGUUGGUUGGAAUCCGUGUAUCCGCCGAGUCCGAGUCAAGUUAAUAGGGGCAAAUGAAAUAAAUCUACUGAUAAAACUAAAUUUGAAGGAUAUAGCAUAUGUGAAAAGUUGAGAAUUGAAAUAAAGAAAUAAGAAUGAUAUAUAUAUAAUCGAAUGAUAACAUAAAAAGAUUAAAUUGUUCAUUAAGUGAUGAUAAUUGUAAUGUAAAAGUAUGUGUGCGAUUUAAUGUAUUUAAUUAUAAACUGAAUUAUAGUGAUACCACUGAGUAUAUGCAUACUCAGCGUACGGUUGUUUCCGUGCGCAGGUUGUAGAAGUCAAGUACUGAACCAGUAUCCAAAGUCAGACCCUACUUCAGCAAACUUUUUGGUGAUGUAUAUUUCCUUUUGGUAAUGUGGCAUGUACAUAGGAUGUGUAUAAAAGGUUAUUAUGUUUUGAAUAUAAAUGGUUUAAAAUAUUAGUAUUACAAGUCUAAGAAUUAUAAUGAAAAAGUUUAUCCAUUUCAAUUUAAUUAGUACAAUGAUAAAUCUAAUUAAAUUGAAAUUGAUAUUAUAUUGAUUAAGUUGAUUAGAAACAUUUAGAAUAGAAAAUGAAUGUGUGAAAUAAUUUGGUUGAAUUGGUUAUGCUUGAAAUGGAUAUGGUUUUAAUUGCAGGGGGAUUUAUGUAAAAAUAAGGAGAAAUGCUGUCGAAAUUUAUAAUAAAAAAAUGGAGUACUUAAAACAAGUCUCGUUUCACUUAAAUGUAUGCUUUAGACUUUGAGAGUUCAAUAUAGGAAUUUAGUAAUUAAAUUAUGCUAUGAAGGUUGUUUUAUUUGUGAAUUAUUCAUAAGUUGUCUGAUACGUCCGGUAAUGCCUCAUAACUCUGUUCUGGCGACGGUUCGGGGUUAGGGGGUGUUACACACUACUUCUAACACCACUGGAAUUGGGCUAUUACACUUCUUUUAAGGAUUAUAUUAAAAUACCAAUUUAGUUGAUAUACCAUUAUCAACUUUACAUUUUAUAUCCAUACUAACUUGGCUCGAGCUCAAACGGAUACACAAAUCCAACUAACAUACUAAAUUUGGCACUCAGUGCCUUAUUAGAAAAUUCAAAGUAAAUAUUUUGUGUUCAACGCUCAUAGGUAUAAUCAAAGUAUAAGUUGUGCUUAGCACUCAUCAACAUGUAGUCAAAGCAACCGAUAAUUGAUCUAUCCUAUGGGAUAUCAACUAUGUCGGACUCUGCCCGAAUAGUUAAUAGGGUAAUAAUUUAUCGAUCAUCAUUUUGUUUAGUUCGCAUAUCAUCAAUUCUCAUCAAUUCAUCACAUAGAAAAUUCUAUUUUAGCCCAAUUCAAAGUCAAUUCCAUAAUUUCAUCGAACUUCACUAUUUUCGAUUCUAUUCAAUUUAAUCCUCCAUCUCAAAAAAUCAAACAUUUACAUACCAAUCCAAUUCAACUAAUCAAUCUCAAAUUGUAAUUCAUCAUAUUCAAUUUAUCAUUUCAUUAUGAUUUAGUCCAUAUCUCACAUUUUGUACCAAAUUGCAAAUAAUUCAAAUUAUUAUCAAACAUACACAAAAGCAUAAUUCAGAUAUAUAAAAAAAUUAAAUAAAAUUCAUACCAUAUAAACUUACCUGACAAAAUCAAUAAUUAAGUUGAAACUUCAAGAAUUAUUCAACAAAUUUUUUAUUUUCCCCGAUUAUUUCCAAUGCGAUCCAAUUUCAGAUCAAAUGAAUGUGAAAAAUUUGAAGCUUAAAACCCUAUCUUUUCUCCUUGUUGCUAUCGUCAAAUGAAGAAAAUGAAUAAAAAUGAUUUGUUGUUUUAUAUUUAACUUAAAUAGUUGGGCAUAAUAAAAAGGUUCUAAUUGUUCAUUUGGUCUUUUAGUUAAUUAAAAAUGAACCAAACUUUAAUAUAUUUUUAUACUAACCUCGUAAAUAUUAAUUUAUUAAUAUUUACAGAUUCGAAUAUUGAAAAUGGAGUUUUGAAACUAUCGUUUCUGAUAUUACUAAAAAACGAGCUAUUAAAAUGAGUUUAUUGUUAGACUUAUUAUCACUCUCAUUCCAUUUCUUUGAGAACUUAAUUUUCGUAAAUGUAUAGCUAAGCCGCAAAAAUUAAAAAAAGGUUUUAGUUAAGUUAUAAAAACUAAAGAAAGAUUUUAACUUAGCAUUAUGAAAAAAGAUAAGAGAUUAUAAAAGCUAUAACUUAUUAAUAGUAUUAAUAGUAUUACCAAGCAAACUUGAAUUUUGAAAUCUGAAACAUAGAGGGAUUAAAUUUUAAUUUUUUGAAUAAUACAAAUCCUUAAUGACACAUUUUAAGACAUUAGGUCGUCCUCUUUGUGUGUCUCAAUGAUAACAUCACUCUUAGGGUAGGCAACACAAGUUAGGACGAAGCCUGCAUCAAUCAUUUCAUCAUCAAGGUAGCUAUUGUCCGAUUGGUCGACGGUGCCUUCUUUGAUCAGUCCGGCACACGAAGAGCAAGCCCCAGCCCUGCACGAGUACGGGAGAUCCAUUCCUAGUUCCUCGGCACGGUCCAGGAUAUAUUCGCCGUCCGAGCAGUCGAAUUUCUUGGUUCCCGACGGAGUUAUCAGUGUUACUUUGUGAGAAGCCAUGGUAAAGCGGCCUUUUCUUUGGGACUUUAGCCCGAAAAGUGAUUGGUUAAAUGGAAGGGAACUUAGGGUCGUCGUCGUCGCCGCUGCCGGAUGCCGGCGGAGGAACGAGGUAAUGGUUAGAGCGGUGGAGAGGGUGGCUGUGGUGGAGGAGGCCAUGUCGUGAGAGCCGUUAGCAGAUGAGUUGAUAUACAGGGGAAAGUACGGCUGAGGAUAAAGAAUUGGCUGGUUGUGUGGAUUAUUGGCAGCGGAGGAACGAGGUAAUGGUUACAGCGGUGGAGAGGGUGGCUGUUGUGGAGGAGGCCAUGUUGUGAGAGCCGUUAGCAGAUGAGUUGAUAUAGAGGGGAAAGUAUGGCUGAGGAUAAAGAAUUGGCUGGUUGUGUGGUUAUUAUCUGCCACGUGGCG
rnacentral:lncRNA from 1 species